GCGGUUUCUUAAGUCUGAUGUGAAAGCCCCCGGCUCAACCGGGGAGGGUCAUUGGAAACUGGGAGACUUGAGUGCAGAAGAGGAGAGUGGAAUUCCAUGUGUAGCGGUGAAAUGCGUAGAUAUAUGGAGGAACACCAGUGGCGAAGGCGACUCUCUGGUCUGUAACUGACGCUGAGGCUCGAAAGCGUGGGGAGCAAACAGGAUUAGAUACCCUGGUAGUCCACGCCGUAAACGAUGAGUGCUAAGUGUUGGAGGGUUUCCGCCCUUCAGUGCUGCAGCUAACGCAUUAAGCACUCCGCCUGGGGAGUACGACCGCAAGGUUGAAACUCAAAGGAAUUGACGGGGGCCCGCACAAGCGGUGGAGCAUGUGGUUUAA
rnacentral:rRNA from 1 species